rnacentral:rRNA from 1 species
AGGGUUCGAUUCCGGAGAGGGAGCCUGAGAAACGGCUACCACAUCUAAGGAAGGCAGCAGGCGCGCAAAUUACCCAAUCCUGACUCAGGGAGGUAGUGACAAGAAAUAACAACACGGGGCACUAUAGUUGCUUUGUGAUUGGAAUGAGGUUAGUAUAAACCCCUUGCCAAGUAUCAAUUGGAGGGCAAGUCUGGUGCCAGCAGCCGCGGUAAUUCCAGCUCCAAUAGCGUAUAUUAGAGUUGUUGCAGUUAAAAAGCUCGAAGUUGAAUUUCUGCUGCGGCGACCUCGUGAUGCUAUGCGUUGUGUGUGUCGCUUCAGCAUUUUCCUUUGCACUGCACUUUAUUGUGUGUGUGUUGGGGAAGCUUUACUUUGAGAAAAAUAGAGUGUUUCAAGCAGGCUGUGCCUUGAAUACUGCAGCAUGGAAUAAUGAGAUAGACCUGCAUUCCUAUUUCGUUGGUUUUGAGGAAUGAGUGAUGAUUAAUAGGGAUAGUUGGGGGCAUUUGUAUUCGACUGUCANAGGUGAAAUUCUUANAUUUGUCNAANACAGACAACUGCNAAAGCAUUUGCCAAA